rnacentral:rRNA from 1 species
GGAAUAUUGGACAAUGGGCGAAAGCCUGAUCCAGCAAUGCCGCGUGAGUGAUGACGGCCUUAGGGUUGUAAAGCUCUUUUACCCGGGAUGAUAAUGACAGUACCGGGAGAAUAAGCCCCGGCUAACUCCGUGCCAGCAGCCGCGGUAAUACGGAGGGGGCUAGCGUUGUUCGGAAUUACUGGGGGUAAAGCGCGCGUAGGCGGCUUUGGAAGUUAGAGGUGAAAGCCCGGAGCUCAACUCCGGAAUUGCCUUUAAGACUGCAUCGCUAGAAUCAUGGAGAGGUGAGUGGAAUUCCGAGUGUAGAGGUGAAAUUCGUAGAUAUUCGGAAGAACACCAGUGGCGAAGGCGACUCACUGGACAUGUAUUGACGCUGAGGCGCGAAAGCGUGGGGAGCGA